ensembl:lncRNA
GGCAUUAUUUUUUGUAAAUGUGUUUGCUUGAACAUUCUAUUCAGAUUCCGAGGCUUCUUCACGCCUGGUGAAGUUGUGAAUUGCGAGCUCAUUAGGCAUACUAGCAUGUUAUAAAUAUCCUGGCCAUUGAUGCAUUAAUCAUUGCAUCUGUCUUUCAAAGAUGUCAGGUAAAAAACAAAUAAGCAUCCUGUCCUUCGCCCAAAGAGGAAAGCCCCCUAAAAAGGCCAGAUUAGGCCCAGAGACGGUUGUAAACACAUUAGAGGAGGAGAUGGUGGAAGGGGAAGAGACAGUACAGGUGGAGGAGGAAGAGACAGUAGAGGUGGAAGAGGAAAAGACAGUACAGGUGGAAGAGGAAGAGACAGUACAGGUGGAGGAGGAAGAGACAGUGCAGGUGGAAGAGGAAGAGAUGGUGGAAGAAACAGUGGAGGAGAUGGCUAGAACAAAAGGGAGAAAAGUCCCAGGAGCAGCCACCUACAAGACCUCUUUUAAUAGUGAAUGGACCUCUAAAUGGCCAUUUA